rnacentral:rRNA from 1 species
AACGUAGGGGGCGAGCGUUAUCCGGAAUCACUGGGCGUAAAGGGCGUCUAGGCGGUCCAGUAAGUCCUGCGUGAAAGCUCCCGGCUCAACUGGGAGAGCGCGUGGGAGACUGUUGGGCUAGAGACUCGAAGAGGGGUGUGGAAUUCCCGGUGGAGUGGUGAAAUGCGUUGAGAUCGGGAGGAACACCAGUGGCGAAGGCGACUACCUGGCCCAUUCUUGACGCUGAGGCGCGAAAGCUAGGGGAGCGAACGGG